GGCGGAACACUGAUGUACCGUGCGAAGUUCCGUCGGAUUAUAUAUACAAAAAAGCUGGAGGAAUAAUAUGGAAUUAUGGCUGCAAAUAUUAUUGCCUCAACAAGCCUUACAAAGUUGUCCAUCAUCCUGACGGUGCUCGCUGCAUGAUCCCAGAUACUGCACCUAAUGGCUCUUGUGCCAAAGGCG